AGAGUUUGAUCAUGGCUCAGAUUGAACGCUGGCGGCAGGCCUAACACAUGCAAGUCGAACGGUAACAGGAAGAAGCUUGCUUCUUUGCUGACGAGUGGCGGACGGGUGAGUAAUGUCUGGGAAACUGCCUGAUGGAGGGGGAUAACUACUGGAAACGGUAGCUAAUACCGCAUAACGUCGCAAGACCAAAGAGGGGGACCUUCGGGCCUCUUGCCAUCGGAUGUGCCCAGAUGGGAUUAGCUAGUAGGUGAGGUAACGGCUCACCUAGGCGACGAUCCCUAGCUGGUCUGAGAGGAUGACCAGCCACACUGGAACUGAGACACGGUCCAGACUCCUACGGGAGGCAGCAGUGGGGAAUAUUGCACAAUGGGCGCAAGCCUGAUGCAGCCAUGCCGCGUGUAUGAAGAAGGCCUUCGGGUUGUAAAGUACUUUCAGCGGGGAGGAAGGGAGUAAAGUUAAUACCUUUGCUCAUUGACGUUACCCGCAGAAGAAGCACCGGCUAACUCCGUGCCAGCAGCCGCGGUAAUACGGAGGGUGCAAGCGUUAAUCGGAAUUACUGGGCGUAAAGCGCACGCAGGCGGUUUGUUAAGUCAGAUGUGAAAUCCCCGGGCUCAACCUGGGAACUGCAUCUGAUACUGGCAAGCUUGAGUCUCGUAGAGGGGGGUAGAAUUCCAGGUGUAGCGGUGAAAUGCGUAGAGAUCUGGAGGAAUACCGGUGGCGAAGGCGGCCCCCUGGACGAAGACUGACGCUCAGGUGCGAAAGCGUGGGGAGCAAACAGGAUUAGAUACCCUGGUAGUCCACGCCGUAAACGAUGUCGACUUGGAGGUUGUGCCCUUGAGGCGUGGCUUCCGGAGCUAACGCGUUAAGUCGACCGCCUGGGGAGUACGGCCGCAAGGUUAAAACUCAAAUGAAUUGACGGGGGCCCGCACAAGCGGUGGAGCAUGUGGUUUAAUUCGAUGCAACGCGAAGAACCUUACCUGGUCUUGACAUCCACGGAAGUUUUCAGAGAUGAGAAUGUGCCUUCGGGAACCGUGAGACAGGUGCUGCAUGGCUGUCGUCAGCUCGUGUUGUGAAAUGUUGGGUUAAGUCCCGCAACGAGCGCAACCCUUAUCCUUUGUUGCCAGCGGUCCGGCCGGGAACUCAAAGGAGACUGCCAGUGAUAAACUGGAGGAAGGUGGGGAUGACGUCAAGUCAUCAUGGCCCUUACGACCAGGGCUACACACGUGCUACAAUGGCGCAUACAAAGAGAAGCGACCUCGCGAGAGCAAGCGGACCUCAUAAAGUGCGUCGUAGUCCGGAUUGGAGUCUGCAACUCGACUCCAUGAAGUCGGAAUCGCUAGUAAUCGUGGAUCAGAAUGCCACGGUGAAUACGUUCCCGGGCCUUGUACACACCGCCCGUCACACCAUGGGAGUGGGUUGCAAAAGAAGUAGGUAGCUUAACCUUCGGGAGGGCGCUUACCACUUUGUGAUUCAUGACUGGGGUGAAGUCGUAACAAGGUAACCGUAGGGGAACCUGCGGUUGGAUCACCU
rnacentral:rRNA from 1 species